rnacentral:rRNA from 1 species
UUACACUAUGGGGAUGGUGAGAAGAGAUAUAUUUUACAUCCCAGAGGGGCUAUAAUUGGAGAUACUAUUGUUUCUGGUACAAAAGUUCCUAUAUCAAUGGGAAAUGCCCUAUCUUUGAGUGCGGUUUGA